rnacentral:rRNA from 1 species
UACGGAGGGUGCAAGCGUUGUCCGGAUUUAUUGGGUUUAAAGGGUGCGUAGGCGGCUUCUUAAGUCAGUGGUGAAAUACUGCAGCUCAACUGUUAGAACUGCCAUUGAUACUGGGAAGCUUGAGUACAGACGAGGUAGGCGGAAUUGACAGUGUAGCGGUGAAAUGCUUAGAUAUUGUCAAGAACACCUAUUGCGAAGGCAGCUUACUAGACUGUAACUGACGCUGAGGCACGAAAGCGUGGGGAUCAAACAGG